rnacentral:rRNA from 1 species
CAAGUCGAACGAUUAAAGCUCUCUUCGGAGAGUGCAUAGAGUGGCGCACGGGUGAGUAACACGUAAGUAAUCUACCUUCGAGUGGGGAAUAACGUCCGGAAACGGACGCUAAUACCGCAUAAUGCAGCGGCAUCGAAAGAUGACAGUUGUUAAAGGAGCAAUUCGCUUGAAGAGGAGCUUGCGGCAGAUUAGCUAGUUGGUAAGGUAAUGGCUUACCAAGGCUACGAUCUGUAACCGGUCUAAGAGGACGGUCGGUCACACUGACACUGAAUAACGGGUCAGACUCCUACGGGAGGCAGCAGUCGGGAAUUUUGGGCAAUGGGCGAAAGCCUGACCCAGCAACGCCGCGUGAAGGAUGAAGUAUUUCGGUAUGUAAACUUCGAAAGAAUGGGAAGAAUCAAUGACGGUACCAUUUAUAAGGUCCGGCUAACUACGUGCCAGCAGCCGCGGUAAUACGUAGGGACCAAGCGUUGUUCGGAUUUACUGGGCGUAAAGGGCGCGUAGGCGGCUUGACAAGUCACUUGUGAAAUCUCCGGGCUUAACUCGGAACGGCCAAGUGAAACUGUCAUGCUAGAGUGCAGAAGGGGCAAUCGGAAUUCUUGGUGUAGCGGUGAAAUGCGUAGAUAUCAAGAGGAACACCUGAGGUGAAGACGGGUUGCUGGGCUGACACUGACGCUGAUGCGCGAAAGCCAGGGGAGCAAACGGGAUUAGAUACCCCGGUAGUCCUGGCCCUAAACGAUGAAUACUUGGUGUCUGGAGUCAUUAAUGCUCCGGGUGCCGUCGCUAACGUUUUUAGUAUUCCGCCUGGGGAGUACGCUCGCAAGAGUGAAACUCAAAGGAAUUGACGGGGACCCGCACAAGCGGUGGAGCAUGUGGUUUAAUUCGACGCAACGCGAA